UGCGGGGUAGUGUACGGAUGCACGCGAGGCUCAUAAUCUCGCAGACCGGGUUCAACUCCCGGCUCCGCAA
rnacentral:tRNA from 1 species